rnacentral:lncRNA from 1 species
GUGCACGAUGUGGGGGGAUGCACAUGAUGGUGCCUGCUAUGUGCACAAUGUGGGGGGAUGUACAUGAGCCGGGAGUGAUUAUGAUGAUAUCGAUGUUUGUCUAUGUAAUUAUGCAUAUCUAGAUUUAUAAAAUGAAAGCUCAUGAAUGUGAUAUAUGGUUGACAUAUAUGUGAAAUUUGACACAUUGUACUUUGAGAAUGUUCAUGAGUUUUAUAUUGAUUUUG